GUUUCUCUUCGUUCAGGCAUAAAUCUUUUGCCUUUUACUAAAGAUUUCCAUAGAGAGGAAC
rnacentral:snRNA from 1 species